rnacentral:sRNA from 1 species
GCCGGGCAUGGUGGUGCAUGCCUGUAGUCCCAGCUACUUGGGAGGCUGAGGCAGGAGGAUCGCUUGAGCCCAGGAGUUUGAGGUUGCUGUGAACUAGGCUGACGCCACGGCACUCACUCUAGCCUGGGCAACAAAGCGAGACUCUGUCUCAAAAUAAAUAAAUAAAUAAAGACAAAGUCUCUUUCUGUCACCCAGCCUGGAGUGCGGUGGCUUGUAGCUCACUGCAGCCUCAAACUCUGGGCUUAAGUGAUCCUCCUGCUGCA